GACGAACGCUGGCGGCGUGCUUAACACAUGCAAGUCGAACGGAAAGGCCCUGCUUUUGUGGGGUGCUCGAGUGGCGAACGGGUGAGUAACACGUGAGUAACCUGCCCUUGACAUUGGGAUAACUUCAGGAAACUGGGGCUAAUACAGGAUAGGAGCUCCUGCUGCAUGGUGGGGGAUGGAAAGUUUCGGCGGUUGGGGAGGGACUCGCGGGUUAUCAGCUUGUUGGUGGGGUAGUGGCUUACCAAGGCUUUGACGGGUAGCCGGCCUGAGAGGGUGAGCGGGCACAUCGAGACUGGGAUAGGGACCAGACUCCAACGGGAGGCAGCGGUGGGAAGUAUUACACAGUGGCCGGAAGCCAGAUGCGGAGGCGCCGCGGGCGGGAUGAUGGGCUUCGGGUUGUAAACCGAUUUCGCCUUUGACGAGGCGAGAGUGACGGUAAUGGAUAAAGAAGCACCGGCUAACUACGUG
rnacentral:rRNA from 1 species